rnacentral:rRNA from 1 species
GCGGCCUAUCAGCUUGUUGGUGAGGUAAAGGCUCACCAAGGCGACGACGGGUAGCCGGCCUGAGAGGGCGACCGGCCACACUGGGACUGAGACACGGCCCAGACUCCUACGGGAGGCAGCAGUGGGGAAUAUUGGGCAAUGGAGGAAACUCUGACCCAGCGACGCCGCGUGCGGGAUGAAGGCCUUCGGGUUGUAAACCGCUUUCAGUAGGGAAGAAGCGAAAGUGACGGUACCUACAAAAGAAGCACCGGCUAACUAUGUGCCAGCAGCCGCGGUAAUACAUAGGGUGCAAGCGUUGUCCGGAAUUAUUGGGCGUAAAGAGCUCGUAGGUGGUUCGUCACGUCGGAUGUGAAAAUCUGGGGCUUAACCCCAGACCUGCAUUCGAUACGGGCGAGCUAGAGUGUGGUAGGGGAGACUGGAAUUCCU